GUGGGGAAUAUUGCGCAAUGGGCGAAAGCCUGACGCAGCGACGCCGCGUGGGUGAUGAAGGCCUUCGGGUCGUAAAGCCCUGUCGGGAGGGAAGAAACCUCGGCAACCUAAUACGUUGUCGACCUGACGGUACCUCCUAAGGAAGCACCGGCUAACUCCGUGCCAGCAGCCGCGGUAAUACGGAGGGUGCAAGCGUUGUUCGGAAUCACUGGGCGUAAAGCGCGUGUAGGCGGUUUCUUAAGUCCGAUGUGAAAGCCCGGGGCUCACCCCCGGAAGUGCAUCGGAUACUGGGAAGCUGGAGUACCGGAGAGGAGGGUGGAAUUCCUGGUGUAGCGGUGAAAUGCGUAGAUAUCAGGAGGAACACCUGUGGCGAAGGCGGCCCUCUGGACGGAUACUGACGCUGAGACGCGAAAGCGUGGGGAGCAAACAGGAUUAGAAACCCGAGUAGUCC
rnacentral:rRNA from 1 species